rnacentral:rRNA from 1 species
ACGGGAGGCAGCAGUGGGGAAUAUUGCACAAUGGGGGAAACCCUGAUGCAGCGACGCCGCGUGAGUGAAGAAGUAUUUCGGUAUGUAAAACUCUAUCAGCAGGAAAGAAAAUGACGGUACCUGACUAAGAAGCCCCGGCUAACUACGUGCCAGCAGCCGCGGUAAUACGUAGGGGGCAAGCGUUAUCCGGAUUUACUGGGUGUAAAGGGAGCGUAGACGGUAAGGCAAGUCUGAAGUGAAAUGCCAGGGCUCAACCCUGGAACUGCUUUGGAAACUGUCCUACUAGAGUGCAGGAGAGGUAAGUGGAAUUCCUAGUGUAGCGGUGAAAUGCGUAGAUAUUAGGAGGAACACCAGUGGCGAAGGCGGCUUACUGGACUGUAACUGACGUUGAGGCUCGAAAGCGUGGGGAGCAAACAGGAUUAGAUACCCUGGUA